AACGAACGCUGGCGGCAUGCCUAACACAUGCAAGUCGAACGAGACCUUCGGGUCUAGUGGCGCACGGGUGCGUAACGCGUGGGAACCUGCCCUUAGGUUCGGAAUAACUCCCCGAAAGGGGUGCUAAUACCGGAUAAUGUCUUCGGACCAAAGAUUUAUCGCCUUUGGAUGGGCCCGCGUUGGAUUAGCUAGUUGGUAGGGUAAAAGCCUACCAAGGCGACGAUCCAUAGCUGGUCUGAGAGGAGGAUCAGCCACACUGGGACUGAGACACGGCCCAGACUCCUACGGGAGGCAGCAGUGGGGAAUAUUGGACAAUGGGCGAAAGCCUGAUCCAGCAAUGCCGCGUGAGUGAUGAAGGCCUUAGGGUUGUAAAGCUCUUUUAGCCGGGAUGAUAAUGACAGUACCGGGAGAAUAAGCACCGGCUAACUCCGUG
rnacentral:rRNA from 1 species